UACAGAGGUCUCAAGCGUUGUUCGGAUUCAUUGGGCGUAAAGGGCGCGUAGGCGGCUUGCACAGUCAGGCGUGAAAUUCCUGGGCUCAACCUGGGGACUGCGCUUGAGACGUGUGGGCUUGAGUGGGGAAGAGGGUCGUGGAAUUCCCAGUGUAGAGGUGAAAUUCGUAGAUAUUGGGAAGAACACCGGUGGCGAAGGCGGCGACCUGGUCCUUGACUGACGCUGAGGCGCGAAAGCGUGGGGAGCAAACAGG
rnacentral:rRNA from 1 species